rnacentral:tRNA from 1 species
GCGGGGAUAGCCAAGCCAGGCCAAAGGCGCAGAAGAAAAGCCUGUCCCAUAGGGGUUCGCGGGUUCAAAUCCCGCUCCCCGCACCA